CGCUGCCCGGCUGUUUAUGUCACUUUAGAGUUGGUCCCCGGUCACCUUCGAAGGGGACAGAAGGUCAACGGGAAACAUUUUUCAUUUCUGAGAUCCUGUUUACCCAAACUAAUUUGUUCCUUCUUGCAAAUUUCAGGACACUCGGAAAAAUGAACAGUGAAUUUUCAUAGACACCCCUUUUUUCUACGCUGCUUUUCCUGUCUCCUACAAUCUCGUUUUCUUUUUUAUUUGUUUAUUUAGAAAAAGCAGCCGUAAGGUCCGCAUCAGAGAUCCUCGUCUCAUGAUGAUAUCGAUUGCAAAAUCGAACGCAUAAUUACGGGCAGUUAGAACAAUUAACUUUGUUUUCUGGAUUCGUGGAUGAUAGUCUUAUUUCUGGCAGUAAACUCCACGUUGGUGAGGGCCUGAAUUUUGAGGACAGGGCAGUGCUUUUGUUACAUGCAACUGAGGUCACACGGGCCCUGGAUGGCACAACAUUGUCCAGCACUGCCAGAAACACAAAGGAGGGAGCGAAGAAGAUGUCUGAGAAAGCGGAGAGGAGAAAAGACUCUGUUCGGCUGAAGGUUGAGUCAUUGGGCAAGGUUACCGAUUAAAGAGGGCAGUGCACGUUUACAGAGAACCAGGAGGCCCUGUGACGUCAGUCUCGAACUUCCGAAGAAGCAAACGAUCCUGUCUCUGCAGCUCUGAACCAGAAUGAUGUCACAGGCAUUUACAGGCAACACAUUAACUGACCUGAGAUGGUGCUGUUUUAAAGGGGUAUUUCUCUGACGUGUGAAUACCUUGCAAUCACAACAUAUUAUGUUGGUUUAACUUCAAAAACACUUGGUUCCCCACCAAUGCACAGCACUAACACCUGGAACAACAGCACACAGAAUUUCAACAAACCUGCGGAGUUUGAACAUAACAAAUCAUUUGGCCAUAUUUAUUUACACUUAGAAAUGGUCAAUGGAAGUAAGUAUGCAUUAAGUAUUUGUUCUGCAAUGUAAUGAUGUUUCUUUGUGGGAUUCAGAAAAAACAACAUUAAA